AGAAAGUGUUUCUCUAGAAACACUCCAGCAUGUAGAGGCUGGAGCUGCAGGACCUAUCUGGGAUGACAGGGGCAGGAGGUGGGGUGCAGCUGACCUCUGUGAGGUGACCACAGUGACAGUGGCCAACGUGGGGGCUGCUGCAGACAAUGUCUUCACCACGUCUGUGGCGAACGCGGCAUCCAUCUCAGGACAUGUUCUGUCUGGUAGGACGGCCCUUCAGAUCGGGGACAGCCUGAACACCGAAAAAGCGACACUGAUUGUCGUCCACACAGAUGGGAGCAUCGUGGAGACCACCGGGCUGAAAGGCCCGGCAGCUCCCCUCACCCCAGGUCCUCAGUCUCCUCCAACCCCUCUGGCUCCCGGCCAAGAAAAAGGUGGAACUAAAUACAACUGGGACCCUUCUGUGUACGACAGUGAGCUGCCCGUACGGUGCCGGAACAUCAGCGGCACUCUGUACAAGAACAGGCUCGGCUCA
rnacentral:lncRNA from 1 species